rnacentral:rRNA from 1 species
GAUGAACGCUGGCGGCGUGCCUAAUACAUGCAAGUCGAGCGAACAGAUGAGGAGCUUGCUCCUCUGACGUUAGCGGCGGACGGGUGAGUAACACGUGGAUAACCUACCUAUAAGACUGGGAUAACUUCGGGAAACCGGAGCUAAUACCGGAUAAUAUAUUGAACCGCAUGGUUCAAUAGUGAAAGACGGUUUUGCUGUCACUUAUAGAUGGAUCCGCGCCGCAUUAGCUAGUUGGUAAGGUAACGGCUUACCAAGGCAACGAUGCGUAGCCGACCUGAGAGGGUGAUCGGCCACACUGGAACUGAGACACGGUCCAGACUCCUACGGGAGGCAGCAGUAGGGAAUCUUCCGCAAUGGGCGAAAGCCUGAAGUAGACACGGCGCGUGAGUGAUGAAGGUCUACGGAGCGUAAAACUCUGUUGUCAGGGAAGAACAAAUGUGUAAGUAACUAUGCACGUAUUGACGGUACCUAAGAAGAAAGCCACGGCUAACUACGU